rnacentral:rRNA from 1 species
AACGAACGCUGGCGGCAUGCCUAACACAUGCAAGUCGAACGAGACCUUCGGGUUUAGUGGCGCACGUCUGCUUAACGCCUGGGAACUUGCCCUUAGGUUCGGAAUAACUUCCUGAAAGGGCUUCUAAUACCGGCUUUUGUCUUCGGACCAAAGAUUUAUCGCCUUUGGAUUGGCACUCGUUGGAUUAUUUCGUUGGUAUGUUAAUAGCCUACCACCGCGACGAACUAUAGCUGGUCUGUGAGGAGGAUCAGCCACACUGGGACUGAGACACGGCCCACUCUCGUACGCAACACAGCGGUGGAGAAAAUUGCGGAAUGGGAGAAAGCCUGAGCCAGCAAUGUGGCGUGAGUGAUGAAGGCCUUAGGGUUGUAAAGCGCUUUUACACGAGAUGAUAAUGACAGUACCGGGAGAAUAAGCUCAGGCUAAAUCCGUG